UACGGAGGAUGCAAGCGUUGUCCGGAAUGAUUGGGCGUAAAGCGUCCGCAGGUGGCGAUGUAAGUCUGCUGUUAAAGAGUCUAGCUCAACUAGAUAAGAGCAGUGGAAACUACAUAGCUAGAGUACGUUCGGGGCAGAGGGAAUUCCUGGUGUAGCGGUGAAAUGCGUAGAGAUCAGGAAGAACACCAGUGGCGAAGGCGCUCUGCUAGGCCGUAACUGACACUGAGGGACGAAAGCUAGGGGAGCGAAUGGG
rnacentral:rRNA from 1 species